GGAGGAUUCUGGGAAAGGUAGGAGAAAGCGCAGAGUCACCACGUUAUCCCGGGAAGACAGGAUGCUUCUGCUGGCAUCCAAUAAGAUAAGUUUUAUAAAAUAUAUAGAUUUAUGAUAAUUAAGACUGAGCUAGCAGAUGAGAAAUCCUAGUCACUGGCCAAGCAGCAUUUGUACAAAAUAUAAGUCUCUGUGUGUGACUUGGGACCUUAAUGUGGUGGCGGGCGGAACUUGGGCGACCUGGUGGAAAGCACCCACGUGGCAGCAGGGCUCGGGUGGCUUGGUGGAAAGACUUAUUGUUACACAUCAUCUCUACAUUCCAACAAUCAUCUAGUUGUUCACUGAUAUGUGCAUGCAAACCACAUCCCAUACAUUUGCUAGGUCGUCUCUCUCCAUUCUUUGAUUCAUAAUCCAGUCAUUGCCCAGGUGCACAGUCAUCCAUCUAUCCGCCUACGCAUCCACUCUUUAUUUUGUCGUUCAUAUGCCCCCCAUUGUACAUCUGUAUCAUCCGUUCUCACUCAUCCAAUCCCACCUUAGUAGUGACGAGAGCAUAAACAAAAGUACUGUGCUGUUUGUCUCAGAAAGGCAGAGCACAUACAGUUAUAUGCAGUUUAUAACAGUUGAUAGUUAUAUUAUCAAGUGUGUUAUUAGUUGUGCUGGUUACUUCUCGUUGCUCUGACCAAAUACCCAAGAGAAAAGCAACUGAAAGGAAGAAAGUUAUACCUAGGCUCGUUGCCGUGACCUGCACAGCUUAGGGAGUGACUGCAUCUAAGAACAAAGCCAGGCACACAGUCUGUACCUUUAAAAUAUUGAUUGUUAUUAUACACAUUAUAGAAUCAUCUAUGUGCCGGGCUGUGCGCUGUGUCUCCAGGACACAAACCUGAAGGACUCAUGCGACGUCAUGAGGAAAGCAUGUUAUACUGCAUGCUUAUCCAUCUUGAGCCUCUGGGCAGACAAAGGGCAGAAGGGACCGGUUCUUACUGGCAGUGAGAUUGCCAUUCCCAUCAGGCCAAGGAGGAGGCAGUCUUGCAGAAGAUAUGGGAACAACAUUAAAAAUAGAGAAGAGAGAGGUUAAAGACUCAGCAGAGAGCGGGCAUACAGUGUGAGAAUGCUGAGCUGUGGGGUAUAGUGAGGGCUGUUGUGCAAUAUUUGAUCUCACUCUGACACUCCCGAGGCUUCCAAUAAAGUUUACUUUGAAUCAGAAGGUGGAGCUAGCUACUAGCUGACCAAAAUUAGCCAUAGAGGUUUUGGAGGACAGAGGACCAACAGGAGGUAGUAGGGUGGGGCUUAGACAGACUGGAUUAAGGAGAGAGGGGUGGGGUCACUGGUUGCUUCUCCUUCACUUCUCUCAUCAUUCAGGUUCUUACCCCGAUAUCUGACUCUUGAGUUAUUAUUGAUAAUAAGAUUAUUAGAUAAACGCUUCAGACGGCAAGAUGAGAAAGAGGGAUGGCACGAGGCGCAGACACUGAGCAAUAGAACAGUAACUAAGACAGAAGCAAAAUGUGUUCACACGGCGCCUGACCCAAUACAAGAGUUUGAUAAAUGUUAAUAUGGUCACCAACAGUGGUCAUUCAGAAGGGACAGAGUUCCUGCUCCACGCUUGGCACUGUGCUUGCAAAGUCAGGGGAAGAGCUGCUCUGUGGAGGUCUCCCAGGUCAAAAGGGCUCGGUCACUGAGGAGCAAGCUGGGGCUGCUGCUGAAUGUGCCUUGGAGUUUUGGAACGAGAACAAUAAAAAUAAGCGUGUUAUGCCGACUCUUGUUUCGUUCACCAGCUGAGGUUUCCUGGGGCAGAGUUCUUGAGGGCAGGGUUGAGUUGUUGAGUGUGGGGAAGGCGUUCUUGUUUGGAAGUUCAAGCUGCUACACACACACACACACUAGGGGGAAAGAGGGGUGUUCUGUAGGUCUGGAGGAGACUGAGUAUCCAUUCUAGCCUGUGCUCAUCACCAUUGAUCCCAUGGUCACCUCUAUUUUGAAAACUGUUUGGGGGGCUGGCUGUCAGGGCUCUGUGGUUUGGCAGAAGU
ensembl:lncRNA